AUUGAACGCUGGCGGCAGGCCUAACACAUGCAAGUCGAGCGGAUGAGGGGAGCUUGCUCCUUGAUUCAGCGGCGGACGGGUGAGUAAUGCCUAGGAAUCUGCCUGGUAGUGGGGGAUAACGUUCCGAAAGGAACGCUAAUACCGCAUACGUCCUACGGGAGAAAGCAGGGGACCUUCGGGCCUUGCGCUAUCAGAUGAGCCUAGGUCGGAUUAGCUAGUUGGUGAGGUAAUGGCUCACCAAGGCGACGAUCCGUAACUGGUCUGAGAGGAUGAUCAGUAACACUGGAACUGAGACACUGUCCAGACUCCUACGUGAGGCAGUAGUGGGGAAUAUUGGACAAUGGGCGAUAGCCUGAUCCAGCCAUGCCGCGUGUGUGAAUAAGGUCUUCGGAUUUUAAAGCACUUUCAGUUGGGAGGAAGGGCAGUAAGUUAAUACCUUGCUGUUUUGACGUUACCAACAGAAUAAGCACCGGCUAACUUCGUGCCAGCAGCCGCAGUAACAC
rnacentral:rRNA from 1 species